UACGGGGGGGGCAAGCGUUGUUCGGAAUUACUGGGCGUAAAGGGCGCGUAGGCGGCUUUUCAAGUGACGGGUGAAAUCCCUCGGCUUAACCGAGGAACUGCCUGUCAGACUGGAAGGCUUGAGACCGGGAGAGGUGAGUGGAAUUCCCAGUGUAGCGGUGAAAUGCGUAGAUAUCUGGAGGAAUACCGGUGGCGAAGGCGGCAUCCUGGACCGGCAUUGACGCUGAGGAGCGAAAGCCAGGGGAGCAAACGGG
rnacentral:rRNA from 1 species